CCUUUCAUCUUCCUGCUUCAAAGAAGGACCCUUCCCCUGGUAGAAAUUAUCACCAUGCCCUGCUCGACUCAGAAUCACAGACACACAAAAGAUUUGUAUCCCAGAACACAGCAACAGCACACUGUGGUAACAUCAUUUCUGCCAAAACGCAACUUCCGGUCUCCCUGUGGCUGGGAAAUCAGUUUCUUUUCUCUUAAGCUUUGCUCGGAGGGGAACAAAAAGAGCGAAGAGGACAGCAGCUGCGGCCACUUCAGGGAGGAGCCGGCAACACAAAAGCCCUUUCACCAGCACAUUUUUUAACUCCCUGCCGGGCCUCCCACCAGUCUCUAAUCAAGUUCCUGCUGCCAGGAAUUCUAGCCCCAGCUCCCACAGUGGCAUCGGGUCCCACCACAGCAGGCCAGGCUACCAGCAGCCGCCCAGCUCCCAGCCACCUGCAGACCCUUUAGUAAGGAUCGAGGCCCAGCAGCCUCCUCCACAUUCCAUCUCCUGUCACAGGAGGACACGCAGCAGGAGCAGGGUUCCUAGGAUGUGUGUCAAAUAUCCUACUUUAUAUUAGGAAAAGGGCUUCUAACUUGAAUGAAUAAUAAAUAGCUGAAAUAUGCAGAGUUCUGCAGAACCAGAAAGAAGCUCCAGAAACAUUUUCCCUGAUGGAGGUCAACAAUCAGGAAAACCUGUUGAAGCUUACAACAAAGCAACAGAGAAUGGAUCUGAAGUAGAAGAGGGGGUUGGAUGCUGAGAAGCACGCCGGGCAAACCAGUCCCUGAAUGUGAGAUUCCACGGGCUUCCAAGAUCUUUACUCCACUAAACAUCUUCGUUAAAUCUACUCUAUAAUCCUCACUGCAGGCCUUACGGACAGCAAUCUGAGGUGGCGAAUCUUAAUUAGAGCUCUGGAGACCGGCUCUCUAACAAGACCGACUUUCCAAAUAAUUUUUCACAUGGCACGCUCCCCCUCCAAACCGCACAUGGAAGGGCAGUCACGUGGCAUGGAUCUGUCAGAACAGUUCACCAACGUCCAGAGGCCUCUCCAGGAAGGGCAGAUGACACCACAAGCCCUGCGGGAGUCUGCGCCCGCCAUCCCCACUCUGCCAUUAUGCCUUCUCUCGCUGCAAAGCCAUUUGCAAAACAUGUACAAAACACAGAGCUAACAGGAAGGUCCGUUUGGUAACAGAUUUCUAGGUAGUCCAUAGAAUUUCUACUUCUACAAAAACAGAAAACCACCUUUCAGAAGAGGUUUCCAAUUUAAGCGGAUUUAAAGAGAAGAAAAGGAAAGAUGUUAAAAUAGAACUUCAUUCAGCUUGCUGGAUAGGUUCUCUGUUCUGUGAGAAGUACAUAAAUGAUACACAUAUUUGACCAGGUUGAAAUAGGUAAAACAUGACAAAAAUUUGGUUAUAAUUCUCAACCAACACUAGUAGCUUUAAGUUAAGACAAAGGCAAGAAGCGAACAGUUAAGUGGACAGGUUGUUGGUUCCCAGAGCCACAGCACUCCUGCACAGGCUCAUAUUAAUUGGAGCAAUAUUAAAUGCACCAACUAGGCAAAGCGAGACCCUGGCGGAAACGGGCGAUGGGCAGCGUGUGAAGUUCCAGCAAGCACCAACCUGGCCUGGGCCGGGCACACGCCCGCGCACACCGAGCUGUAGUGCCGUCUCUGACGGCCCCCACAGUGGGUCCUCAACCGCCCCUCCACUUCUUCACCUGACAUGCAUCUUUCCACACUUCCGUCGUGCCCUAGAAAUUAGUUAAGACACACUCCAAGUGAAUAAUGAGCAUGCCUAAUUUUAGCCAACAAAAUAUACUGAUUUUUCCUAAAGGAGUUUCUACACUGUGAUACCAAUUGUCCUGCCAGGAAUCUCUGAUGAAAUAACUUGGACUGAUAAUUCUUCUGCCAAAAAAUGUAUCUUGUAACGAAUACAAGGUCCAAUGUGUAAAUAUUAUUCUAACACUUUUAUUCAUUUCCAAAAGCAUAUAAACAUAAGUCUACUGUACACUACUUAUUUUCUCUGUAAAGCAAGGACCACAGAAUAAAUGACCUGCAAAUUUCCA